rnacentral:rRNA from 1 species
AGAUUGAACGCUGGCGGCAGGCCUAACACAUGCAAGUCGAGCGGCAGCACGGGUACUUGUACCUGGUGGCGAGCGGCGGACGGGUGAGUAAUGCCUAGGAAUCUGCCUGGUAGUGGGGGAUAACGCUCGGAAACGGACGCUAAUACCGCAUACGUCCUACGGGAGAAAGCAGGGGACCUUCGGGCCUUGCGCUAUCAGAUGAGCCUAGGUCGGAUUAGCUAGUUGGUGAGGUAAUGGCUCACCAAGGCGACGAUCCGUAACUGGUCUGAGAGGAUGAUCAGUCACACUGGAACUGAGACACGGUCCAGACUCCUACGGGAGGCAGCAGUGGGAAUAUUGGACAAUGGGACGAAAGACCGUGAUCCAGCCAUGCCGCGUGUGUGAAGAAGGUCGUUCGGAUUGUAAAGACGUACUUUAAAGUUAGGGAGG